CAUCGGGUCCCGUGCGAUAUCACAGCGUGAACCUUGUCAGGUCCGGAAGGAAGCAGCAAUAAGCGCCAGCUGAUAUGUGCCGCGGGAGUGCCCGGUGCGU
rnacentral:SRP_RNA from 1 species